rnacentral:rRNA from 1 species
UGGGGAAUAUUGGACAAUGGGCGCAAGCCUGAUCCAGCCAUGCCGCGUGUGUGAAGAAGGUCUUCGGAUUGUAAAGCACUUUAAGUUGGGAGGAAGGUCAGUAGCUUAAUACGUUGCUGAUUUGACGUUACCGACAGAAUAAGCACCGGCUAACUCUGUGCCAGCAGCCGCGGUAAUACAGAGGGUGCAAGCGUUAAUCGGAAUUACUGGGCGUAAAGCGCGCGUAGGUGGUUAUGUAAGUUGGAUGUGAAAUCCCCGGGCUCAACCUGGGAACUGCAUCCAAAACUGCAUGGCUAGAGUACGGUAGAGGGUGGUGGAAUUUCCUGUGUAGCGGUGAAAUGCGUAGAUAUAGGAAGGAACACCAGUGGCGAAGGCGACCACCUGGACUGAUACUGACGCUGAGGUGCGAAAGCGUGGGGAGCAAACAGGAUUAGAUACCCUUGUAGUCCCUGAGCGGGCUGGCAAGGCGCAU